GCCUGGGUGGCUCAGUCGGUUAAGCCUCUGACUUCAGCUCAGGUCACUAUCUCACAGCUCGUGGGUUCAAGCCCCGCGUCGGGCU
rnacentral:tRNA from 1 species